AUUGAACGCUGGCGGAAUGCUUUACACAUGCAAGUCGAACGGCAGCACGGGUGCUUGCACCUGGUGGCGAGUGGCGAACGGGUGAGUAAUGCGUCGGAACGUACCGAGUAAUGGGGGAUAACGCAGCGAAAGUUGUGCUAAUACCGCAUACGCCCUGAGGGGGAAAGUGGGGGACCGCAAGGCCUCACGUUAUUCGAGCGGCCGACGUCUGAUUAGCUAGUUGGUGGGGUAAAGGCCUACCAAGGCGACGAUCAGUAGCGGGUCUGAGAGGAUGAUCCGCCACACUGGGACUGAGACACGGCCCAGACUCCUACGGGAGGCAGCAGUGGGGAAUUUUGGACAAUGGGCGCAAGCCUGAUCCAGCCAUUCCGCGUGAGUGAAGAAGGCCUUCGGGUUGUAAAGCUCUUUCGGCAGGAACGAAACGGCGGGCUCUAACAUAGCCUGUUACUGACGGUACCUGCAGAAGAAGCACCGGCUAACUACGUGCCAACAGCCGCGGUAAUACGUAGGGUGCGAGCGUUAAUCGGAAUUACUGGGCGUAAAGCGUGCGCAGGCGGAUUGUUAAGCAAGACGUGAAAUCCCCGGGCUUAACCUGGGAAUGGCGUUUUGAACUGGCAGUCUAGAGUGCGUCAGAGGGGGGUGGAAUUCCACGUGUAGCAGUGAAAUGCGUAGAGAUGUGGAGGAACACCGAUGGCGAAGGCAGCCCCCUGGGAUGACACUGACGCUCAUGU
rnacentral:rRNA from 1 species